rnacentral:snoRNA from 1 species
CCAACAUGGGCAUCCAUUGAGGUGGCUCUCGCAUGGCUCUGCCCAGGUGGCGUGUGGGAGCUUAGCCCCGUAAGGGGCAAUGAUGUAUAGUCCUAUUCCACAAUGUUGGACAUGAAGCUUUUCCCCCCCCAGACUGAAAAGGCUGGUGUGGGAGGCAUCCUGUAUAUUCCUAUAACUUCCCAGCUUUUGCAGUUGCUGUGAAGACAAACCAUGCAGGACACAAGU